GAGGGGCAGAGGGGAGGGCCCGGGUGGGUGGUGCAGCGCUGUGUAGCCGGCGGGGCGGGUGGGGCCGCGCGUAGGGGGUUAAAUUGGGUUGUUCUGGGCGAGUCGGGGAGCGGGCAGCUUUCAGCCAGGUGUGGGGUGGUUAUUUCCUCAGGUGUGAGGGGAGAUUUGUGAGGGGUUUCUGUGAGCCCGGGGUUUUUUGCCUGCCUGUAACAGCAGGGCUCCCGGCUGAGGCGUCGAGGCGGCCGAGGCCUGGUCCUCCGCCUCAGUGCUAUGGCAGCCGCGGGGGAGAAACAGUGCCGAAAAGUUGGGCUGCCCUGCUCUUACCGCAGACACGCUUUCCUAGAAUAUGUAACUCCUCAGGUUCCUGACUAUCAUCCUGCUUUAUAGAAGGUGAGAAGUAGUGUGUUUUGGAGUCAGUAUGUAAUUUUGAACAUUUGAAAAAGAGUUCAAAGAGGACAUUUCUGUAAAUAACAAGAUUUUUGGAGAGGCACAGCCUAUUGGUGAUCCUCUAUUGCCCAGCGGUGUCUGAAGAUCCAUGAGAUCAGCAAGAGAGUAUUUGAGUUGAAGAGCCAGAACGGAGAUGUGUGUGUGCAAAAGAAAGGAGAUACAAUCGUGAAGGAAGUGGCUGGGAGGCUCUAAGGAUGUCUAAGAAGGUUUCUGAAAUGGGGAAAGUGCCAACCUCAGAUCAUCAAAGGGUUACCUCGUCAAAACUGCCCAAGAGGUUAUAACAAAGAUAAUAGAAUUGCUUGAGAUUUCAAAUACAGUCUGCUGCACAAAAUCCAGCAAUACUUCAGUUGCAUAGUGAAAGGCAACAGGAAAUCAGAAGCAACCUUACAACUCAGGAUAAAAGUAGCAUGAGAAAACUGAGGAUAUAAAGGCAGGGGAAAACCGACCUCUCUUCAGGAGGAAAAAUCAAGCUGCUGAUGUGUCUGGUUGGCAUGGUGGAGAAGAGGUAUAGGAAGUGUUCAGUUGUACUUGAAGGCUCCACCUGGGACUUGGACUCAUUUGUCGUACAUGCUGAAGAAAGCAAACGAUAAGAUAAAUGCAAUGGAAGACACUGUACCAAACAAUUAAUCAUUACUGCUAGCCUGCAUCACCUUGCCAUAUGAAAGAAAAAGCUCUAUGCUCCUUGAAUCGAGAAUCAGAAAUAAGAUCCUUUUAAAAGAAGAAAAAAUGCUCAGUUUUGUUCAAGUUUGCUCUUUCACAGCAAAACAGAAAUUUUAGUGUUCAUAUAAUCUCAAAUCAAGCCAGACAUUGGUAAGUAUAAUGGGACAUAGGUGCAUUUUAGUUCUUUUGUUGGUAAGAGUAAGUUGUAUAGCUGUCGAAUUGUGGCAUGUCUAUGAAAUGCUCAGUAAAACCAUUGCUGGGAGUGAUGACAUUUGUAUGCCAAAGGAGAGGAAAGAAUGCAGAUCUAUUAAGUGAACCUGUUAAAAUUGUGAAACACGUUUAAAACAGUGCAGAUGCCUUGGCCAUCUGCUAAGAAAUAUGUGUGGACAUAAUUACACAAACCAACUGUCAUUUCAUUAAAAAAAAAAAAUCAUUUUUAAGAAGUGUGCAGCCAAAGGAAGCAACUUCCCCCUCCCUCCAAAGCCCAUGUCCUUGAAAUAGCUAUAUAUUCUUGUUUAACACUCGGUUCCAAACAAACUGAUUUAUUCUUUGCUCUUCUUUCGCAUAUAAGGAUUUACAUCGAGUCUGUCCAUUGUAAGAAGUUGGAGCCUACUGUAGUUUAAACUGCCUGAACUAUACAUCAGAGUUUAUCACAAAUGCACGGAGGUACUUGUAACUGUACAGAUGCUUCUUAUAGUUGAUAUCACUGGAACCUUUGGCAGAAUUAUAUCUUUGCAUUACGUGGCUGCUUGUCCAUUAUUUUUAUUACAGAAAAACAGAAUAUGAGGUUAUGUGUUGGGAGUAUUGCUGUCCCUUUAAGUGUAUGUGAGAGCUGUAGAAGCCACAGAUUUAUAUUUGUAAAUAUAAAAGAUUUAAUAGAACCUAAUGAAGGCAGAGAACAUUUGCUUAUGCUCAAGUAUACCUUAAUUAAAAAUUUGAGGUAUUAAAAUUUGAAAGUGGCUGCAGUAAA